GUUUAGAUAGGGCUAAACUUUUUAGCCUCAUAUCACAUCGAAUGUUUGAACACUAAUUUAAAGUAUUAAACAUGGACUAAUCAAAAAACUAACUUCAUAAAUAAGAGCUAAUCCGCGAGACGAAUUUUUUAAGCCUAAUUAAUCUAUAAUUAGCAAAUGUUUACUGUAGUAUCACAUAUGCUAAUCAUGGAUUAAUUAGGUUCAUUAGAUUCGUCUCGUGAAUUAGUCUAGAAUUAUGAAUAUGUUUUAUUUAUAGACUACGUUUAUUAUUUAUAAUAAGUGUCCAAACAUCCAAUAUGACUAGAAGGCUAAAAUUUAGCCUCUAGAAACAAACAUCCCCUUAGUCUUCGCAGG
rnacentral:lncRNA from 1 species